rnacentral:rRNA from 1 species
AGCGAACGCUGGCGGCAGGCCUAACACAUGCCAGUCGAACGAACCUUUCGGGGUUAGUGGCGGACGGGUGAGUAACACGUGGGAACGUGCCUUUAGGUUCGGAAUAACUCAGGGAAACUUGUGCUAAUACCGAAUGUGCCCUUCGGGGGCAAGAUUUAUCGCCUUUAGAGGGGCCCGCGUCUGAUUAGCUAGUUGGUUGAGGUAAUGGCUCACCAAGGCGACGAUCAGUAGCUGGUCUGAGAGGAUGAUCAGCCACAUUGGGACUGAGACACGGCCCAAACUCCUACGGGAGGCAGCAGUGGGGAAUCUUGCGCAAUGGGCGAAAGCCUGACGCAGCCAUGCCGCGUGAAUGAUGAAGGUCUUAGGAUUGUAAAAUUCUUUCACCGGGGACGAUAAUGACGGUACCCGGAGAAGAAGCCCCGGCUAACUUCGUG